UCUAAAUACUUACGAUUUGCACCCCCACCCCCUAUUCUUCUUCAAUAUAAUAUGAUAGAAAGAAAACAUCUGUUGAGGUGAAUGUUGUCUGAUUCGAAAUCAUUCAACAAAUUAUAAUCAAUGAUGAAUUAUUUAAUUGAAUGAUUUCGGACCAGGCUUCAUUCCCCUCAACUCACGAUUUUGUUUUAGCCUACAUAUAAUGCAGCCAUUUUGACUAUACUAGAACUCUAGAAGUUGAUGAUCUCCUUUGCCCUCUCUCGCAGGUGGAGGCAAAUCUAGGGUAAUUAAAGAAGAGACAACUAGCAGGUGAUCAAACUCAGCAGGUAGCAUAAAUAGAACUAGUCUUUGAUCUAGCAGGUGAUCAAACUCAGCAGGAAUUUCAGAGAGGUGCUUAUGCAAAGGAAUAAGAAGCAACCCCAAAAAUUGGAGUGAAAGAAGAUGUAAGAAAAAAAAGAACUUUUCAAAAAAGACAAUGUAAAGGGAUUUAUUUUUACACUAUUAAACCACGUUGUUACUUCAUCAUAUUAUAUGAAAUGUCAUGACAAAUUAACUUCUUGUAAUUGGUUGUUGCACUAUAUUUCUCUUUACUACGUCAUGCUUGCUAUCGAGAGAGAUAUUAUUGUGACAUGUAAAUCAAUUUUAUUUGAUGAUUUAUAAA